UGACGGACUGAAGGCUCUUUCUCGAUUCCGUGGAAAGUGGUGCAUGGCCGUUUUUGGUUGGUGGAUCGAUCCGUCUGGUUAAUUCCGUUAACGAACGAGACCUCGGCACUCCGAAUAGCGCGGCGGACGUCGCGGCCUCCGGGCCGUCUUCCGCACGAGCUUCUUAGAGGGACCGUCCCCCGCCGGGGAAGGAGGUGCGAGGCAACGACAGGUCUGUGAUGCCCUUAGAUGUUCUGGGCCGCACGCGCAUUACACUGACGCGUCCAACGGGUGACUCCCGACCCGAAGGGGCCGGGGAAUCCGCAAGGCGCGUCGUGAUGGGGAUUGAACGUUGCAAUUGUUGUUCACGAACGAGGAAUUCCUAGUAGGCGCGGGUCAUCAACCCCGCGCCGAUUACGUCCCUG
rnacentral:rRNA from 1 species